AGGCUUGAAAUUCAAAGAAUUUGGCGGUAUUUUAGUCUAGUUAGAGGAACCUGUUUUAUAAAUGAUACAACACGUAAAAUCUUACUAGUUUUUGUAAAACAGCUUGUAUACCGUCAUUAUUAGAUAACUUUUAUAGAAAGAGUUAUUGAGAGUAUAAAUUUAAGUAUAUUAGAUCAAGGUGCAGCUAAUGAAUUAGUAAAAAUGGGUUACAAUAAAAUUAAUUAUUACGAAUUAGAAUUUGAAUAAAUUUUAUG
rnacentral:rRNA from 1 species